rnacentral:rRNA from 1 species
CCUGGCUCACCAUUAACGCUAGCGACAGGCUUAACACAUGCAAGUCGAGGGGCAGCACAGGUAGCAAUACCGGGUGGCGACCGGCGCACGGGUGAGUAACGCGUAUGCAACUUACCUAUCAGAGGGGGAUAACCCGGCGAAAGUCGGACUAAUACCGCAUGAAGCAGGGGCCCCGCAUGGGGAUAUUUGCUAAAGAUUCAUCGCUGAUAGAUAGGCAUGCGUUCCAUUAGGCAGUUGGCGGGGUAACGGCCCACCAAACCGACGAUGGAUAGGGGUUCUGAGAGGAAGGUCCCCCACAUUGGUACUGAGACACGGACCAAACUCCUACGGGAGGCAGCAGUGAGGAAUAUUGGUCAAUGGGCGUAAGCCUGAACCAGCCAAGUCGCGUGAGGGAUGAAGGUUCUAUGGAUCGUAAACCUCUUUUAUAAGGGAAUAAAGUGCGGGACGUGUCCCGUUUUGUAUGUACCUUAUGAAUAAGGAUCGGCUAACUCCGUGCCAGCAGCCGCGGUAAUACGGAGGAUCCGAGCGUUAUCCGGAUUUAUUGGGUUUAAAGGGUGCGUAGGGCGCCUUUUAAGUCAGCGGUGAAAGUCUGUGGCUCAACCCUAGAAUUGCCGUUGAAACUGGGGGGCUUGAGUAUGUUUGAGGCAGGCGGAAUGCGUGGUGUAGCGGUGAAAUGCUUAGAUAUCACGCAGAACCCCGAUUGCGAAGGCAGCCUGCCAAGCCAUGACUGACGCUGAUGCACGAAAGCGUGGGGAUCAAACAGGAUUAGAUACCCUGGUAGUCCACGCAGUAAACGAUGAUCACUAGCUGUUUGCGAUACAGUGUAAGCGGCACAGCGAAAGCGUUAAGUGAUCCACCUGGGGAGUACGCCGGCAACGGUGAAACUCAAAGGAAUUGACGGGGGCCCGCACAAGCGGAGGAACAUGUGGUUUAAUUCGAUGAUACGCGAGGAACCUUACCCGGGUUUGAACGCAUUUCGACCGCUCUGGAAACAGAGCCUCUAGCAAUAGCGAUUUGCGAGGUGCUGCAUGGUUGUCGUCAGCUCGUGCCGUGAGGUGUCGGCUUAAGUGCCAUAACGAGCGCAACCCCUGCCACUAGUUACUAACAGGUAAAGCUGAGGACUCUGGUGGGACUGCCAGCGUAAGCUGCGAGGAAGGCGGGGAUGACGUCAAAUCAGCACGGCCCUUACAUCCGGGGCGACACACGUGUUACAAUGGCGUGGACAAAGGGAUGCCACCUGGCGACAGGGAGCGAAUCCCCAAACCACGUCUCAGUUCGGAUCGGAGUCUGCAACCCGACUCCGUGAAGCUGGAUUCGCUAGUAAUCGCGCAUCAGCCAUGGCGCGGUGAAUACGUUCCCGGGCCUUGUACACACCGCC